rnacentral:rRNA from 1 species
UACCUGCAGCUCGAGUGGUAACCGCUAUUAUUGGGCCUAAAGCGUCCGUAGCCGGUUUGGUAAAUAUCUGGGUAAAUCGUGAGGCUUAACUUCACGAAUUUCGGAUAGACUGCCAGACUUGGGAUCGGGGGAGGUCAGAGGUACUCCAGGGGUAGCGGUGAAAUGUUGUAAUCCUUGGAGGACCACCGGUAGCGAAGGCGUCUGACUAGAACGAGGUCCGACGGUGAGGGACGAAGCCCUGGGGCGCAAACCGGAUUAGAUACCCGGGUAGUCCAGGGUGUAAACAAUGUGGGCUUUGUAUUGGAGGUCCCACGUGGGCGUCCAGUGCAGAAGAGAAGUUGUUAAGCCCACCGCCUGGGAAGUACGGUCGCAAGGCUGAAACUUAAAGGAAUUGGCGGGGGAGCACAGCAACGGGAGGAGCGUGCGGUUU